GGCCAGACUCCUACGGGAGGCAGCAGUGGGGGAUAUUGCACAAUGGGGGAAACCCUGAUGCAGCGACGCCGCGUGAGUGAAGAAGUAUUUCGGUAUGUAAAGCUCUAUCAGCAGGGACGAAAAUGACGGUACCUGAGUAAGAAGCCCCGGCUAACUACGUGCCAGCAGCCGCGGUAAUACGUAGGGGGCAAGCGUUAUCCGGAAUUACUGGGUGUAAAGGGAGCGUAGACGGUGAAGUAAGUCUGGAGUGAAAGGCGGGGGCCCAACCCCCGGACUGCUCUGGAAACUAUUUGACUGGAGUGCAGGAGAGGUAAGCGGAAUUCCUAGUGUAGCGGUGAAAUGCGUAGAUAUUAGGAGGAACACCAGUGGCGAAGGCGGCUUACUGGACUGUAACUGACGUUGAGGCUCGAAAGCGUGGGGAGCAAACAGGAUUAGAUACCCGUGUA
rnacentral:rRNA from 1 species